rnacentral:rRNA from 1 species
CGCGUAGACGGUUUUGUAAGUCAGAUGUGAAAUCCCUGGGCUCAACCUGGGAACUGCAUUUGAUACUGCAUGGCUAGAGUAUGGAAGAGGGAAGUGGAAUUUCCGGUGUAGCGGUGAAAUGCGUAGAUAUCGGAAGGACACCAGUGGCGAAAGCGACUUCCUGGUCCAAUACUGACGUUCAUGUGCGAAAGCGUGGGGAGCAAACAGGAUUAGAUACCCUGGUAGUCCACGCCAUAAACGAUGACAACUAGAUGUUGGGAGGGUCUGCCUCUCGGUGUCGCAGCUAACGCGUUAAGUUGUCCGCCUGGGGAGUACGGCCGCAAGGUUGAA